GACUGGUUCUUCGGGAAUUACGGUUGGAGAAGACGUUUUCAGUUAUCCCAAUGUGCCUUCGGAUUGGUAUCGGGAUAACAAUGUGCAAUCUCACAUUGCUAAGGAAGACUGGAAGUUUGUGACAGUGGAGUUUGAAGGAGAAGAACCAAGACAAAUGAAGAUGGGAAGCCAACUAGUGGAUGAAGAGAUCAAGGCCUACUGUGAGUUAGUAAGAGAGUAUCGGGAGGUCUUUGCAUGGUCUUACAAGGAGUUAAAGGG
rnacentral:lncRNA from 1 species